rnacentral:rRNA from 1 species
UACGGAGGGUGCGAGCGUUAAUCGGAAUUACUGGGCGUAAAGGGUGCGUAGGUGGUUUGGUAAGUUAUGUGUGAAAUACCUGGGCUUAACCUAGGGGGGUCAUAUAAUACUGCUGGGCUUGAGUAUGGGAGAGGGUAGUGGAAUUUCCGGUGUAGCGGUGAAAUGCGUAGAUAUCGGAAGGAACACCAGUGGCGAAGGCGGCUACCUGGCCUAAUACUGACACUGAGGCACGAAAGCGUGGGGAGCAAAC